rnacentral:rRNA from 1 species
GAUGAACGCUGGCGGCGUGCCUAAUACAUGCGAGUCGAACGCACAGCGAAAGGUGCUUGCACCUUUCAAGUGAGUGGCGAACGGGUGAGUAACACGUGGACAACCUGCCUCAAGGCUGGGGAUAACAUUUGGAAACAGAUGCUAAUACCGAAUAAAACUCAGUGUCGCAUGACACAAAGUUAAAAGGCGCUUUGGCGUCACCUAGAGAUGGAUCCGCGGUGCAUUAGUUAGUUGGUGGGGUAAAGGCCUACCAAGACAAUGAUGCAUAGCCGGAUUGAGAGACAGAUCGGCCACAUUGGGACUGAGACACGGCCCAAACGCCUACGGGAGGCUGCAGUAGGGAAUCUUCCACAAUGGGCGAAAGCCUGAUGGAGCAACGCCGCGUGUGUGAUGAAGGCUUUCGGGUCGUAAAGCACUGUUGUAUGGGAAGAACAGCUAGAAUAGGGAAUGAUUUUAGUUUGACGGUACCAUACCAGAAAGGGACGGCUAAAUACGUGCCAGCCGCCGCCGUAA